CGGUGGAUGAUGUGGAUUAAUUCGAUGCAACGCGAAAAACCUUACCUACCCUUGACAUGUCCGGAAUCCCGAAGAGAUUUGGGAGUGCUCGCAAGAGAGCCGGAACACAGGUGCUGCAUGGCUGUCGUCAGCUCGUGUCGUGAGAUGUUGGGUUAAGUCCCGCAACGAGCGCAACCCUUGUCAUUAGUUGCCAUCAUUUGGUUGGGCACUCUAAUGAGACUGCCGGUGACAAGCCGGAGGAAGGUGGGGAUGACGUCAAGUCCUCAUGGCCCUUAUGGGUAGGGCUUCACACGUCAUACAAUGGUCGGUACAGAGGGUUGCCAACCCGCGAGGGGGAGCUAAUCCCACAAAGCCGAUCGUAGUCCGGAUCGCAGUCUGCAACUCGACUGCGUGAAGUCGGAAUCGCUAGUAAUCGUGGAUCAGCAUGUCACGGUGAAUACGUUCCCGGGUCUU
rnacentral:rRNA from 1 species